rnacentral:rRNA from 1 species
UACGUAGGGAGCGAGCGUUGUCCGGAUUUAUUGGGCGUAAAGAGCGCGUAGGCGGCUCGGUAAGCCGGAUGUGAAACCUCCAAGCUCAACUUGGAGCGGCCAUUCGGAACUGCUGUGGCUAGAGUCUGGUAGGGGAACACGGAAUUCCUGGUGUAGCGGUGAAAUGCUUAGAUAUCAGGAGGAACACCAGUGGCGAAGGCGGUGUUCUGGGCCAGUACUGACGCUGAGGCACGAAAGCGUGGGGAGCGAACAGG